AUUUUUAGAAACUAGAAAUUAAAAGAGAAAUAAUGCAAUUGGUCUCAUAUUUUUUGGAAUUAAAAUGAGAGAGAUAUGAUUUUUUGAAAUGAAAUAAAAGAAAUAAAAUGGAAAUUAAAUCAGAAAUAAAAAAUGAGAAAAAACGUGUUGCGUUGGAUCCAAGCUCAUUAAUUGAGCUGGCGCAUCAAACGAUUCACAAG
rnacentral:lncRNA from 1 species